AAGCGUCAACAUGCUGUCGGUGACGAUCAUUA
rnacentral:rRNA from 1 species